rnacentral:rRNA from 1 species
AUUGAACGCUGGCGGAAUGCUUUACACAUGCAAGUCGAACGGCAGCACGGGGGCAACCCUGGUGGCGAGUGGCGAACGGGUGAGUAAUACAUCGGAACGUGCCCGGUCGUGGGGGAUAACGUAGCGAAAGUUACGCUAAUACCGCAUACGAUCUGAGGAUGAAAGCGGGGGACCUUCGGGCCUCGCGCGAUCGGAGCGGCCGAUGUCCGAUUAGGUAGUUGGUGGGGUAAAGGCCUACCAAGCCGACGAUCUGUAGCUGGUCUGAGAGGACGACCAGCCACACUGGGACUGAGACACGGCCCAGACUCCUACGGGAGGCAGCAGUGGGGAAUUUUGGACGAUGGGCGCAAGCCUGAUCCAGCCAUUCCGCGUGCAGGACGAAGGCCUUCGGGUUGUAAACUGCUUUUGUAUGGAACGAAAAGGCUCUGGCUAAUACCUGGGGCUCAUGACGGUACCGUAAGAAUAAGCACCGGCUAACUACGUG